rnacentral:rRNA from 1 species
AGGGAAUCUUCUUGCAAUGGACGGAAGUCUGACGGAGCAACGCCGCGUGAGUGANGAAGGUUUUCGGAUCGUAAAACUCUGUUGUAAGAGAAGAACAAGUGCUAGAGUAACUGGUUCCGCCUGGAAGGGAUCCUUACCAAAAAGGGAGGGUUAAUACGGUGCAAGCACCGGCGGAAUACGGAAGGGGCCGACGUUGUCCCGAUUUAUUGGGGGGAAAGGGGGCGCAAGGGGUUCAUUUAGUCUGAAGGGAAAGCCCUCGGGUUUACCCGAGAGGGGCAUUGGAAACUGGUUAACUUGAGUGCAAAAGAGGAGAGUGGAAUUCCAUGUGUAGCGGUGAAAUGCGUAGAUAUAUGGAGGAACACCGGUGGCGAAGGCGACUCUCUGGUUUGUAACUGACGCUGAGGCUCGAAAGCGUGGGGAGCAAACAGGAUUAGAUACCCUGGUGGUCCACGCCGUAAACGAUGAGUGCUAGGUGUUGGACGGUUUCCGCCCUUCAGUGCCGCAGCUAACGCAUUUAACCCUUCCGCCUGGGGAGUACGACCGCAAGGUUG